AGCCCGCUACAGAACUUAAACGGAAUUCGAGGGGCCCGCGACAAGCGGAGGAGCAUGUGUUAAUUCGAUGAUACGCGAGGAACUUACCUGGGCUCGAACGUAAGAUGACUGUAGGUGAAAGCUUACAUCUCUUCGGAGCAUUUUACGAGGUGCUGCAUGGUUGUCGUCAGCUCGUGCCGUGAGGUGUCGGGUUAAGUCCCAUAACGAGCGCAACCCCUACCUUUAGUUGCCAUCAGGUAAUGCUGGGGACUCUAAAGGAACUGCCUACGCAAGUAGUGAGGAAGGCGGGGAUGACGUCAAAUCAGCACGGCCCUUACGUCCAGGGCUACACACGUGCUACAAUGGCCGAUACAGAGGGCAGCUACCUGGUGACAGGAUGCAAAUCUCCAAAGUCGGUCUCAGUUCGGAUCGGAGUCUGCAACCCGACUCCGUGAAGUUGGAUUCGCUAGUAAUCGCGCAUCAGCCAUGGCGCGGUGAAUACGUUCCCGGGCCUU
rnacentral:rRNA from 1 species